AAUCAACGCUGGCGGCGCGCUUAACACAUGCAAGUCGCACGAGAAAGUGGAGCAAUCCAUGAGUACAGUGGCGUACGGGUGAGUAACACGUGGGUAAUCUACCUCUUAGUGGGGAAUAACUCUGGGAAACCGGAGCUAAUACCGCAUAAGCCUGGAAAGGGAAAGCAGCAAUGCGCUGAGAGAGGAGCCCGCGGCCGAUUAGCUAGUUGGUAGGGUAAAAGCCACCAAGGCAAUGAUCGGUAGCCGGCCUGAGAGGGCACACGGCCACACUGGCACUGAAACACGGGCCAGACUCCUACGGGAGGCAGCAGUGGGGAAUCUUGCACAAUGGGGGCAACCCUGAUGCAGCGACGCCG
rnacentral:rRNA from 1 species